ACGGAAGGCAGCAGUGGGGAAUAUUGCACAAUGGGCGCAAGCCUGAUGCAGCGAUGCCGCGUGAGGGAAGAAGGUUUUCGGAUUGUAAACCUCUGUCAUCGGGGACGAUAAUGACUGUACCCGAGAAGGAAGCUCCGGCUAACUACGUGCCAGCAGCCGCGGUAAUACGUAGGGAGCGAGCGUUAUCCGGAAUUACUGGGUGUAAAGGGAGUGUAGGCGGGACUGUAGGUCAGAUGUGAAAUAUGCCGGCUCAACUGGCAGACUGCAUUUGAAACUGCGGUUCUUGAGUGAAGUAGAGGUAAGAGGAAUGCCUAGUGUAGCGGUGAAAUGCGUAGAUAUUAGGAAGAACAUCAGUGGCGAAGGCAGCUUACUGAGCUUUAACUGACGCUGAGGCUCGAAAGCGUGGGGAGCAAACAGGAUUAGAUACCCUGGUA
rnacentral:rRNA from 1 species